rnacentral:rRNA from 1 species
UAGGGAAUCUUCGGCAAUGGGGGGAACCCUGACCGAGCAACGCCGCGUGAGUGAAGAAGGUUUUCGGAUCGUAAAGCUCUGUUGUUAAGGAAGAACGAGUGUGAGAAUGGAAAGUUCAUACUGUGACGGUACUUAACCAGAAAGGGACGGCUAACUACGUGCCAGCAGCCGCGGUAAUACGUAGGUCCCGAGCGUUGUCCGGAUUUAUUGGGCGUAAAGCGAGCGCAGGCGGUCAAUUAAGUCUGAUGUGAAAGCCCCCGGCUCAACCGGGAGGGUCAUUGGAAACUGGUUGACUUGAGUGCAGAAGAGGAGAGUGGAAUUCCAUGUGUAGCGGUGAAAUGCGUAGAUAUAUGGAGGAACACCAGUGGCGAAGGCGACUCUCUGGUCUGUAACUGACGCUGAGGUUCGAAAGCGUGGGUAGCAAACAGG